rnacentral:lncRNA from 1 species
GGAUGAGCUGAUGAUGCUUCAACGAGGUGGAGAUGAAGACGUUGAGGAAAUCUCGGCUGGGCGUGGGAGAAUCAACAUGGAGGGGAUCUAGCGGGAGAAGCUGGGAGCUAGCUGGUUCGGAUUUAAUUUAACAAAGCCCUGUUCGUUGGAAGCGGGAGAUCACCCACGGUCGGCUGGUUUUGCUGAGAUUUGGAGCUAUCCAUGGAGGGUAGACAGAUCCGUGGGUGGUUGGAUCGAUGAAGACUCGGGCUCUGUUUGAACUGCUCACGAGAUGGGGAGAAGUUUGGAUACGCUCGAGGUGUUCAAUCGGCUCCGAUGAAGAUGGGAAUGUUGUUCCGGGAGAUGCUGGAACGUGAAGAAGAUAAGGAUGCUGAUUUACCUGGGAUUCCUUUUGACGUUGGGGAUCCGAUUAGAUGCGGGAUGAAGUUAGAUCAACGAGGGAGGCUGGGUUGGUUUGGUAGAGAUACGUGGAGAAAGAUGGAUACGGCU